UUUCAUUCACAAACCUCUAAUCUACUGAAUAUUAUUGCCCUGGUAAAAUGCGUGGCAACACUGUAUGUAAAGUUAUGAAAUUCCACUGUAUAAGACAUGUUCCAAGCCUAGGAAAACCGCUUCAAACCAGUUCCCCAGAGACAAAAGGCUAGCUAGCACCUCAGUCAGGUGUCAUCAUAAUCAAGUGAACUAUCACCUGAUUAAGAAGCCAUUCUUUAGUAGGAAAAAGAAUAUGGGUGGGUGUGGGGCAUAUCACUCAUCUAAAGUUACACAGCAAAACUCUUCCUUUAUAUACAUUUACAUGUUACAUUGCAUUUACUGUACAUUGCAUAACACGUUUUGGGUUUGGGUUGGUCACUUUGUAGGAACCAAUCCUUGGACAGCAUGGUCUAUCCUGUCCCUGCUUGACUUACUCUUUACUUCAUUUUACAUUCCAGGCUUUUGUUAUCCAGUCCGGUGUCGUCAUAAUCAAGUGGACUAUCACCUGAUUAAGAGGCCAUUCUUUGGUAGGAAAAACAAGUGUGAGCGAGAAAUUUACAUGUUGGCAAAGUAACAGCUGGAAGUUCCCAUCUCAGAUUUGCUGUCACCUGAACAUCACUGGAGAUGAGUCUCAAAGAAUCAUCGGAUGCAUCUGAUGAAGUGAGCUGUAGCUCACGAAAGCUUAUGCUCAAAUAAAUUUGUUAGUCUCUAAGGUGCCACAAGUACUCCUUUGCUUUUUGCGGA